AAAUAAAAUUGUUUCUAUUUAUUUAAUUUUAAUGAAAUAUUUGUAGAUAAUUUUAGGUAAUUUUACAUUCUAGUUCCAUUUUUAUAAAAUUAGUUAGUUUUCAACUUGUUUUUUAGUUGGAGCAUGAUUGCUAAAAUAACAUAUAAUUGAGUAGUGUGUGUUUUCAAAUUUUGUUGUGUGAAUUUUUUUUCAACUUGUACUAUUUUUUUUCUUAGAUUGCAAUUGAACGAGAGGAUCGAGUUGUGUCCGAAGAACAAAAGGAUUGUUUAACAUCUAAUCAUAUACUAAUUUCAGUUGGUUGCAUCAUUUGAGUUAUGUUCACACCGCUAGUCAUUCAGUUCGCAUAUAUAGAACAAUGCUUGAUCAAAUGUUGCCAAACCAGGUUCGUGAACUUGCUAAUAAUGUUGAUAAUAUUUUUUUUCCAUAUUGUUGAUAAUGUUGUUGAUAAUGAUGUUGAUAAUAUUCGCAAAUGUCCUAAUAUUUUUUUAUAGUUCAUUUGGUAACACCACUGAUGUUGAGUACCAAGAAUCGGCUUCGGAUUCGACGAUUAUUUCACCAUUACUUUGGAUGUCUAGUUGUCCACUUAUUUGUUAUUCACGAGUGGAGAUGCAUCGUCCGGAGAGAGUAUUACGACAGUUCGGGAUGGUCCAACCAAUUCCGUCACAUCCUACAGAUGUUGUUAUUUUCAACAAAUUACAUGAUUUGACUCGUCAAGGUCGAUCGGGUCUGGAUUGGAGCGAGUAUUUGAGUACAUAUGUUGUUAAAUGGUAACAAAGAUUUCAGACUGUCGUCCCAUUUCAACCAAUCAAUGGACAAGAUACAGAGGAUGGUUAUGAAGCAUGGUAUGAUGAGCACACUCGUCGUUUAUAUCACCGAUUGACGAUUUGAUGAGCAUUGGUUUUCAGACUGAAGAUCGAACAAUUAUGAAUUUGGUGGCUACUUGACUAGCCUCAAUGAACACCAAUAUGCCAGAAAUGCAGCCUAUGAUCAAUAUGCUCAACAGGACCGAGAUUCCUUCUACGGGUGCCUCGGAUGGAGGAAGAAUGAGAACUCACAACCGCACUCAAAUGUCUACAAGAGAAAGGAAUGAUUUCACCUCCCAAGAUGAAGAUGUGGUCGGUCCUUCCACGUACCGAGAUUAUGCCGGUCCUUCCUCAUAUCGAGAUGAGGCCGGCCCAUCCACACUUCGAAAUGAGCCCGGUACUUAUCCAAGUUCUACUAAUGAUGUUUAUAUUCCGACACCAGUAACUCUAUACCAGCCUGCUAUGAACAUGUAUUCAGGGUGUGAAUUUUUGGAUCUCAAUUUAGGAUAUUACCAAGGUGACCAGCCUACACAUAGUCAUUUCAAUGUUUCUCCCGUUCCCUAUCACCUCCAAUCACCUCAAAGUCAUUCUACCGAGAAUUAUGUUGCCGACGCUAUUGAAAAGGAUAUUGCGCAAGAACCAGUGGGUAGAGUGCGUAGAAACAGGCGUCCGCCUAGAUGUAGGACCGGUGGACAUCUCGGACAUCAUUGAUGCUCCUUUUUUUAGUAGUUGACAUUGUGUAUUUGAUAUCUAUGUAUUCUUACAUUUAUGUAAUUUUUAUUUAAUUAUGUAUGAGUUCAAUUUUAAAUUCUCAA